rnacentral:rRNA from 1 species
ACACACCGCCCGUCACACCACGAGAGUUUGUAACACCCGAAGUCGGUGGGGUAACCUUUUUGGAGCCAGCCGCCUAAGGUGGGACAGAUGAUUGGGGUGAAGUCGUAACAAGGUAGCCGUAUCGGAAGGUGCGGCUGGAUCACCUCCUUUCU